rnacentral:rRNA from 1 species
AACGUCUAUGUCGACUUGGCGCUUGUGCCCUUGAGGCGUGGCUUCCGGAGCUAACGCGUUAAGUCGACCGCCUGGGGAGUACGGCCGCAAGGUUAAAACUCAAAUGAAUUGACGGGGGCCCGCACAAGCGGUGGAGCAUGUGGUUUAAUUCGAUGCAACGCGAAGAACCUUACCUACUCUUGACAUCCAGAGAACUUAGCAGAGAUGCUUUGGUGCCUUCGGGAACUCUGAGACAGGUGCUGCAUGGCUGUCGUCAGCUCGUGUUGUGAAAUGUUGGGUUAAGAACCGCAACGAAAAAUG